rnacentral:rRNA from 1 species
UACGUAGGGGGCUAGCGUUGUCCGGAAUCAUUGGGCGUAAAGAGCGCGUAGGCGGCCAGAUAAGUCCGGUGUGAAAGUCAAAGGCUCAACCUUUGAAUGCCGCUGGAAACUGUCUGGCUAGAGUCCGGGAGGGGCGAGUGGAAUUCCCGGUGUAGCGGUGAAAUGCGCAGAUAUCAGGAGGAACACCAGUGGCGAAGGCGGCACUCUGGGCCGGUACUGACGCUGAGGAGCGAAAGCGUGGGGAGCGAACAGG